GGGGAGGGCACCAGACCAGCCCUGUGACGAUAGAAGCUUAAUUGUGGUAUUCGACAACGUAAUCGGCGCCGUAUUGUUCAACAAGUAGGGUGCCUCGACGAGCGAACAAGGAUACCGCGCCACCUCAAAUCAAGCUAAAGGGGCACUACAGAUUAUUUAACCGCCGGCGGAUGAUUUAAGCGUAGCCAAGUGAAAAUAUCGUCGUGCAAACAUUCUGAGAAGUGGAGGUGUCCAUUGUAAAUAGAAAAAUGUAUAAAUUGAAAUCUGUGUGCUUGCAAUCGCACUGUUGGUGCAGGCCAGACCCCGGCGGAAACGUCAGUAAAAUCCUGUUAUUUUUCGUA